rnacentral:rRNA from 1 species
AGAGUUUGAUCCUGGCUCAGGACGAACGCUGGCGGCGUGCCUAACACAUGCAAGUCGAACGGGGUGAGGCCCUUCGGGACCUUUACCUAGUGGCGAACGGGUGAGUAACGCGUGAGGAACCUGCCUUUCAGUGGGGGACAACAGUUGGAAACGACUGCUAAUACCGCAUGAAGCUUUUGGGAGACAUCUCCUGGAAGCCAAAGCUUAAUGUGCUGAAAGAUGGCCUCGCGUCUGAUUAGCUAGUUGGUGGGGUAACGGCCCACCAAGGCGACGAUCAGUAGCCGGUCUGAGAGGAUGAACGGCCACAUUGGGACUGAGAUACGGCCCAGACUCCUACGGGAGGCAGCAGUGGGGAAUAUUGGGCAAUGGGCGAAAGCCUGACCCAGCAACGCCGCGUGAAGGAAGAAGGCCUUCGGGUUGUAAACUUCUUUUACCAGGGACGAAGGACGUGACGGUACCUGGAGAAAAAGCAACGGCUAACUACGUGCCAGCAGCCGCGGUAAUACGUAGGUUGCAAGCGUUGUCCGGAUUUACUGGGUGUAAAGGGCGUGUAGGCGGAGAUGCAAGUUAGGAGUGAAAUCUAUGGGCUCAACCCAUAAACUGCUUCUAAAACUGUAUCCCUUGAGUAUCGGAGAGGCAAGCGGAAUUCCUAGUGUAGCGGUGAAAUGCGUAGAUAUUAGGAGGAACACCAGUGGCGAAGGCGGCUUGCUGGACGACAACUGACGCUGAGGCGCGAAAGCGUGGGGAGCAACCAGGAUUAGAUACCCUGGUAGUCCACGCUGUAAACGAUGAAUACUAGGUGUGGGGGGACUGACCCCCUCCGUGCCGCAGUUAACACAAUAAGUAUUCCACCUGGGGAGUACGACCGCAAGGUUGAAACUCAAAGGAAUUGACGGGGGCCCGCACAAGCAGUGGAUUAUGUGGUUUAAUUUGACGCAACGCGAAGAACCUUACCAGGACUUGACAUCCAACUAACGAAGUAGAGAUACAUCAGGUGCCCUUCGGGGAAAGUUGAGACAGGUGGUGCAUGGUUGUCGUCAGCUCGUGUCGUGAGAUGUUGGGUUAAGUCCCGCAACGAGCGCAACCCCUAUUGUUAGUUGCUACGAAAGAGCACUCUAGCGAGACUGCCGUUGACAAAACGGAGGAAGGCGGGGACGACGUCAAAUCAUCAUGCCCCUUAUGUCCUGGGCUACACACGUAAUACAAUGGUGGCCAACAGAGGGAAGCGAAGCCGUGAGGCAGAGCAAAUCCCUAAAAGCCAUCUCAGUUCGGAUUGCAGGCUGCAACUCGCCUGCAUGAAGCUGGAAUUGCUAGUAAUCGCGGAUCAGCAUGCCGCGGUGAAUACGUUCCCGGGCCUUGUACACACCGCCCGUCACACCAUGGGAGUUUGGAGCACCCAAAGCCGGUGAGGUAACCGCAAGGAGCCAGCCGUCCAAGGUGAGACAAAUGACUGGGGUGAAGUCGUAACAAGGUA